CGCUACACUCUCCUCUACUGCGUGUACUCUGCCUGUAAUUUGGCGCACCUCCGCUUUUAUAGUGCCUAUGUCUUUGGCUAUUAGGUCUUGGAGCUCGUGCAUCCAACGUUGGAGGUCUUGUUUGGUGGCUAAGUUGUGUUCCACUAUUUCUGUGAGGGCUGGGAGUGUAUUACUUAGUGGCCCCUCUGUUUGUGUUGCUGGAGUUUGGGCCAGCUGUGUAGGCCGCAUGGGCGCGAAGGGGGCCUCUUCAGUGGCCAUCUUGGGUUGUGUCUGGCGUCGCAGCAUCUCCCCGACAUCGCGCUGCUCCGCCGGUGAGUUUUGCUGGCCUUUCUGCGUGCGGCGUUUCAUGGUUAAAGGGGUUUCCGCGGUUGCUGCGAUGUUCUCCCCCUCGGCUCUCGUGUCGCAAUAUUCGCGGUAAUCUCCGAGGAGUGUCUCCAGGGAGCGGAGAGUCGGCUGAUAGUAGGCCUUGAUUUUGCGUUUGGCCUUCCCGGUCUUUGGGGGCUGGAAGAAGGGCAUCCGCCUGUUCCCCUCUGUGCCCUGAGUUGGUGAGUGGUUGUGGCGUGGACGUGUUUCGAUUCGUUUUCUUGUUUUAUGGCGGUUAUUGCUUAUUACAGGCGGGAGCCCACAGAGAUGGCGUCUGGUCGGGUUCAGUCCC